UACAGAGGGGGCAAGCGUUAUUCGGAAUUAUUGGGCGUAAAGGGCGCGUAGGCGGCUUGGCAAGUGGAUGGUGAAAUCCCUCGGCUUAACCGAGGAACUGCCGUCCAAACUGCUUCGCUUGAGACCGGGAGAGGUGAGUGGAAUUCCCAGUGUAGCGGUGAAAUGCGUAGAUAUUGGGAGGAACACCAGUGGCGAAGGCGGCUCACUGGACCGGUACUGACGCUGAUGCGCGAAAAGCGUGGGGAGCAACGGG
rnacentral:rRNA from 1 species